UGGGGUUAGGAGAUGAUGAUCAGGGUAUUGAGGAUGACUUCUCUGCAUGGAGGGAGCUUCUUUGGCCGGAGUUGGAUAAGUUACUUCAGGAUGAAAAUGAGACAGGUGCAUCUACUCCUUAUACAGCUGCCAUUCCUGAAUACCGGGUUGUAUUUGUCAAGCUUGAAGAAGUUCCAUAUCUGGAAAAAAGUUUGAAUUUUGCAAAUGGCCAUGCUAUUCAUGACAUACAACAUCCAUGCAGGUAGAGAUGCUCUUUACAAAGACAAAUCUGUUGGGUUACUCUACAAGCCUUUGUUGUCAUUGCUAGUCUUUUGACAUCCUUUGGUAUUCAUGCUAGCCUCUUGGUUCAUCUUCAAGUCAGAUGUAUAUGAAUGCUUACUCUGUGAUGCCAAAAUUUGACUGUCUUGCACACAGUUUUAUGGAAGGUGGCUGGAAAACUAAUCAUGCCAAAACCAAAGGGCUUAACAUCUGAGAUUAAAAAAGCUCCGUCAUCUGGACUUAAGUGGUCCUUUUCUCCUGGGACUAACCUGCUAUCAGGUGGUGCUGCAAAACUUGAAAAAGAGUCUAGGCAAAAACUAAAUGAGUUUUCCAAGGAACUUAGAACAUUCAGAAGUGUUGACUUGUCAGGUCGUAACUUUGGUGAUGAUGGUCUGUUUUUUCUUGCUAAAAGCCUUGGUUACAACAUG